AUCGUUUGCAAGGGAACAAUGAAUUCACAUACUACAAAGAGUAUUCGUGUUUUGUUAGAUACUCUUUGUAAUAUGUGAAUUUUUUUCUUUUGAAUUAGUAUGAUUUUAUUUAAUACAAUUAAUGGAGGUCAUUUAAAAUGGCACAAGGUACAGUGAAAUGGUUUAACGCAGACAAAGGUUUUGGUUUCAUCGAAAUGGAAGGCGGGAAAGAUGUAUUCGCUCACUUCUCAGCUAUCCAAGGUGACGGAUUCAAAUCACUUGAAGAAGGUCAAAAAGUUGAAUUCUCAGUCGAAGAUGGCCAACGUGGACCACAAGCUGCAAACAUCGUAAAACUUUAAUUUUUAUUGAAGAAAACCACUCUUAGUAGAGUGGUUUUACAU
rnacentral:sRNA from 1 species